rnacentral:misc_RNA from 1 species
CGCACUCUCGACGACGCCCUCUGAACACACACACGCACACACACAAAAAAAAGAACCCCUACGACGUUGGGCGUGCGUAAUCAAAUCGGAGACACGUGCAGCCGCUUCAGCUCCUCGUUGGGGACGCAAUCAGCCGUCGUUAUUCGAUAGCAUAAUCGCCGCCGCAUUCAUUCUCAUCGCCUACUUGCCUGCAUUUUUAAGAAGGUGAAAGCGCCUGUGUCUUUUCUGUUGCUCUGUUUCUUGGUUGCUCUUCCACUUGCCUAGGCCCCCCUCUCUCUUCCUCAAUCAGUUCCUCUCAGAUGUUCUCACGCCGUUAUCGAGGUCCUGUCCCGGUUAUCGGUGCCAGCGCGCAUGCCGCGUACCAGCCGUCUGCGCUCUGCAGGGCAACACGCGCCAUGUCUCGCUUUUCAGUUAGCCCCUUCUCUUCUGCCUCGGUGGCUCCGAGCGCGUCAGCAGCUCUUCAGUCACCUUCUGCCUCGCACAGGAAGUGGGCGCAGCGAUGGGUGACAAUGCAGUCACUGGCAGCCGUGACACCGAGCUACUUCUCGGCCGCGCUUCAGUCCCGCUACACGCGUGUGCCUGCCACCGGAACACAACCAGCGCAGACCCCUAGCACACCAACUUCACUCUCAGACGUAAUGACGACCAUCCGCUGCCUCUCCUAUGCGGACCGGCUGCACCGCCAUCUCGGUACGCCUCGCCACGUCGAAGACGUCUGUGCGAGCGUGAAGAGCAGCCAGAAGCUCAGCGCCCUCUUCGAAACGCUUCGUCAGCGACCCAUCGGCAGCGCCUCAAGCACGGCUUUUCAUACGAAGGGCGUGCUGUUGAGCAAGGAUGGCGGCCACCGUGGCGGAGAAAACGGCAAAGGCGAGGAGGAAGGGGCGGCGGAUGAGGGGGAGGAUAAGCCGGAGGACUGGAUUGUGCCACGCACAUGCCUCUUUGUCCUCAUCAUGAUUGCCAUUACGGUGGUGUUGUACCAGCUGGCGCGGCCGAGCGGCACCCAUACGGGAUGGGCCUCGUUGAACAAGCACGCUGGUGAGAUCAAGGAGGCAGUGCUGUAUGAGAACUACCUGCAGGUGUACAUGGACGACGCCAAGGUGUACUUGGGGCUUGUGAACGAUCACGACACGCAGCGCCACAUGGACGAGCUGGCGGACAACUACCGCGCCGCCCGGAAGCAGACCUUGAAGGCGCAGCAGCAGCAGAGCGGGGAAACGGCCCCCGCAGACGGUGGGAAGCACGAGCAUGGCAGCAAGCUGCCCAUGGCCGCCGACACGCCCGCGGAGCUGGAGUUGACCAUGAAGGGGCGCCCUUUUGCCGAGACGGCACUAAUCGGCGUCGGGGCCUUUGCCUGGGUUGUGCCCUUUAUCUUCUUUCCCGUGUUUGUCAUGUUCCUUUCUCAGUACAUUGGCAAGUCGAUGAGCUACGCGGUGGAGGCGACGAAGGGGAAGACGAAAGCGAAGGAGAUGAUCUUCCGCGUCGAUACGGCGUCGAACACGCGCUUCCGCGACAUCGCAGGGAUGAAGGAGCCAAAGAAGGAGAUCACCGAGAUUGUGGACUUCCUGCGCCACCCGGAGCGGUACACGAAGCUCGGUGCCAAGAUUCCGACCGGUGCCAUCCUGCUCGGCCCCCCCGGUACUGGCAAGACGCUGCUCGCGAAAGCUGUGGCCGGGGAGAGCGGGGUCGGCUUCAUCCCGGCGAUCGGCUCUGACUUCGUCGAGCUCUACGUGGGCAUGGGUGCACUGCGGGUGCGGCAGCUGUUCAAGGAGGCGCGCAAGCAGCGCUGCAUUAUCUACAUUGACGAAAUAGAUGCAAUAGGCCUGAAGCGGCAAGGGGCCGGCCACGGCGAAAAGCAAGAGCAGGAGCAGACCCUAAACGAGCUACUCACUCAACUGGACGGCUUCAGCACCGGGCGACGCGGUGAUGUAAUGGUACUCGCCUCGAGCAACGUGGCGCAGGAGGCGCUGGACCCGGCCCUCAUCCGCCCCGGCCGGUUUGACCGCAUCAUCCACGUCGACACACCAGUCAUCUCCGAACGCAUCGACAUAUUCAAGGUCCACCUCAGCAAACUGAAGCUCACCUCAGACGACACGCGCGGUGACUCUGCUGCGGCGACGACAGCAACGGCAGGAGCAGCGGAUGGGGCCGCAGGAGGUGCUGAUGCUCCAACGGCGCCGCCAUUAGCGGCGCCAGUUUCCACGGAGACCAGUCUCGUUCUGUCGCAGGUGAAGACGGAGGAGCGCGAAACCGCGGAAGAGCGUCAGCGAAAGGAUGACGCGAGCGCAGCAGUGUCGGCGGACGCCAAGGGAAUCUCAUCAGACAACCCCAGCAGCAACAGCAGCGCUUACGAGUUCGACAUCCGCUCCCUUCUCAUGCAGAAGUCUGAGAGGGAGCGGGCGUUGAUUGACGCGUACGCGCAGCGCAUGAGCAACCUCUGCCCCGGCUUCGUUGGUGCCGACAUCGCGAAUGUCUGCAACGAAGGCGCCAUCCUUGCCGCUCGGGAGGGGGCCGACCACGUGAGCAUCAGCCACCUCGAGCGUUCCAUCGACCGCGUGCUCGCCGGAAUCGAGCACCGCAGCCGUGCGCUCUCGGAUUUCGAAAAGAACGUCGUUGCGCACCACGAGGCGGGCCACGCCGUGGCUGGCUGGUUCCUCCACCGCGCAGACCCACUGAUGAAGGUGUCCAUCGUCCCACGCGGCGGAUCGGCGCUGGGCUACGCGCAGUAUCUGCCGAACGAGAACUUCACCCGCACGGCAAAAGAGAUUCGCGACUCGAUCAGCGUGACGCUCGGCGGGCGAGCGGCGGAACAGAUCUUCUUCAAUCAUCUCUCCACCGGUGCCUCAGACGACCUCCGCAAGGUGGCCAAGAUGGCCUAUCAGUACGUCUCGUCUUUCGCCCCGGGCUCCGUCUAUCCGCCGCCUGGCAGCAACAGCACUCGCCUGGUAAAGCCGUUUGGCGUGGACAAGGCGAAUGAUUUUGAUCGGCGUGCGAAAACGCUAGUGGACGAGGUCUACGCAGACACGCUGGCGUUGCUGACGAAGCACAAGGACGACAUGAAGAAGCUGGCUGACCAUCUUCUCAAGCAUGAGCUGCUCACCUACGCGGACGUCGUGCACUACCUCGGCGAGCGUACCACUCGGCAGACCGACAGAAAGAAGGGCGUCUAGUCGGUCAGUCAAUGCGGAUAUCUUGUGGGGGGCUGGAGAGGCUGGUCGGUCUCCAGCGGCCAAGAUGACGAGGAUGUGAAGUUGUCGGGUACGCUGGCGCAGUGAUUUGUGCUUGGUGACGCAUGCUGCAGCGUUUGGGGGGGGUCCAUGCGGUGGGGUGCGAGACGAUAACGUUGUGGUCGCACGAUUUGGGUUUACUGUAGACGUCGCCGCGUCUGGUUGUUCGCCUGUUGGACACAGAAUGACG